UUUCUGCUGUGAUAGGAUCCUUCCAGAUGUGCACAAAAAUGGCCGAGUUUGAUUCAAAUAAGUAUGCUGAAAUGCAUGGCCAGCAAGGAGGUGGUGGAAAGAAAGACAAGAAGGAA